ensembl:snRNA U4 U4 spliceosomal RNA
UGCUGUGCACAGUAGUAGUAUCAUAGCCAAUAAGGUUUAUCCGAGGCACAAUUAUUGCUAGUUGAAAACUUUUCCUGGUGCCCCCUAUUAAGCGACCUAAAAUAUAGUCAGCACUGGCAAUUUUUGACAGUCUCUACUGAGA